rnacentral:lncRNA from 1 species
GAGUUGAUAAUGGUGGUUCAUGCCACUUAGGUUUCAGGGAUGAAAGGUUUAAACAUGGGCAAUCAUUUCCUAGAGAUGUUAAUGGUAAUUUUUCUGUUGGCAGGCAGAAUUGGAACAUGAAAUUUAUGGAUGCUACCUUUGCUGCUCAAGCAGCGGCUGAGUUUGCAGAAUAUGCAAGCCUAGCUGCCAGAGCUGUUGUAGAACUUUCAAGGCAAUAUUGUGUUGAUGGAAGUAGGUUCAUGCCACUUAGGUUUCAAGGAUGAAAGGUUGGAACAUGGGCAGUCAUUUCCUGGAGAUGGUAAUGGUAAUAUUUCUGUUGGCAGGCAGAAUUGGAACAUGAAAUUUAUGGAAGCUACCUCUGCUACUCAAGCAACGGCUGAGUUUGCAAAAAUUGCAAGCCUAGCUGCCAGAGCUGUUGUAGAACUUUCAAGGCAAUAUUGUGUUGAUGAUAGUGGUUCAUGCCACUUAGGUUUCAAGGAUGAAAGGUUGGAACAUGGGCAAUCAUUUCCUGGAGAUGGUAAUGGUAAUUUUUCUGUUGGCAGGCAGAAUUGGAACAUGAAAUUUA